AUCGUUUGAUAUCAUUGAUAAUCUAGCUAAGGUGCCAAGGAGGAGUCCACUUACCUCGAGCCAUCUGGAUAACUAACUUUAAGUCCUUUUCAAGCAUCAAUUUUUGGAUAACCUUCAUCCUUGCAAGCAGCAAUCCUUCCUUCAAGGCAGUAGCUUCCACAAUAGUGAUAGUGGCACAGUAAGGCCUAAAAUGCCACCUCCCCGGAGUGAUAGCAAUAUACAUCCACUCCACAGGGUUAGACCCAGAGUGAAUAUAAGGCCAAGCUCUCCCCCACGAGGGAAGGAUCUAAUCAGGUGGUUCUCGGAUCGAUCGCAUUAACUAAUCCUGUAUCCGUAGUCAAAGCACUCCAAGUGGAGUCGGUUCACUCCUGGAGUACGGAUUGGGCCAUGUAUCCUUGCUCAAGUGCUAGCCUAUCUUGCCUAGAUUGCGCGGUACCUCCUCGCCUAUGUGAAAUGUCAGACUGCGCCUACUAACGCGGCUGCGCAUGCGCCUUCAAGCCACGAUGUGGAAGAGAUAAAUGGUCUUUCCCUGAUGUGGCGUACGUACGUCAGAAUGGUCCCCUUGAUGCCCACAUCUCUGAUGACUCUGGGGAAUGUCGGAUGACAUGGACCGACUUUGCAACGCUUAUAAAUACGACUGAUGGCUCCUAAAAAAGGUUCCUUACUUAGCAGUCACAAAAAAAUGACUACAACAGACACCAUCCAAAUUUAACGCCCCUGCACCAAUAGGUCUCCCCUACUGAUCCUACCUCUUACUUGACUGUUAAGGUUUGUAAUUAUUCAUUGGUUCUCCCUAUUGAGUCUAAUAAUUCUUUCAGUAGUAUAGAUGAAGAGGUUAUUGUGCUAUUGUUUCAAAAUAUGACAACUCGUUGAGGAUAAAUAUUAUUAUUU